AGAGUUUGAUCAUGGCUCAGGAUGAACGCUAGCUACAGGCUUAACACAUGCAAGUCGAGGGGAAACGACAUCGAAAGCUUUGCUUUUGAUGGGCGUCGACCGGCGCACGGGUGAGUAACGCGUAUCCAACCUGCCCACCACUUGGGGAUAACCUUGCGAAAGUAAGACUAAUACCCAAUGACGUCUCUAGAAGACAUCUGAAAGAGAUUAAAGAUUUAUCGGUGAUGGAUGGGGAUGCGUCUGAUUAGCUUGUUGGCGGGGUAACGCCCACCAAGGCUACGAUCAGUAGGGGUUCUGAGAGGAAGGUCCCCCANAUUGGAACUGAGACACGGUCCAAACUCCUACGAGAGGCA
rnacentral:rRNA from 1 species